AGCGAACGCUGGCGGCAGGCCUAACACAUGCAAGUCGAGCGCCCCGCAAGGGCAGCGGCAGACGGGAGAGUAACACGUGGGAACGUACCCUUCGGUUCGGAACAACCCAGGGAAACUUGGGCUAAUACCGGAUACGUCCGAAAGGAGAAAGAUUUAUCGCCGAAGGAUCGGCCCGCGUCUGAUUAGCUAGUUGGUGGGGUAAUGGCUCACCAAGGCGACGAUCAGUAGCUGGUCUGAGAGGAUGAUCAGCCUCACUGGGACUGAGACGCGGCCCAGACUCCUACGGGAGGCAGCAGUGGGGAAUAUUGGACAAUGGGCGCAAGCCUGAUCCAGCCAUGCCGCGUGGGUGAUGAAGGCCCUAGGGUUGUAAAGCCCUUUCGGCGGGGAAGAUAAUGACGGUACCCGCAGAAGAAGCCCCGGCUAACUUCGUGCCAGCCGCCGCAGUAAAAC
rnacentral:rRNA from 1 species